AUGGACAGAAAAAAACCUAAAGCACCUUUAUCGUCGUAUCUCAUAUUUUGCAAUAGUAAUAGAGAUGCUGUGAAAAAUGUUUUAAUGCAAAACAGUGACAGUCAAACAACUGUUAGAAUAGCAGACAUUCAAAAAGAAUUGAGUAAUAAAUGGAGAAACUUAUCUGAAGAAGAAAGAAAGAAAUAUGAGGACGAAGCUCUUCUUUUAAAAAUGAAGUAUAAUGAGGAGCUACUAGAAUGGGAAAAAUCUGGAAAGAUGUAUACUGGAGAUGUCAGUUUAAAUAUUAGUACUAAAUUUCCAACUUUAAAAUUACAGAAAAUAAUGCAGUUACAUAGUGGUUUUAAAAAAAUUAACAGUGAGGCUAUUAAUAUUCUUCAAAAAGCAACAAUAAUGUUUUUACUCGAGUUGUUUAAUAAAACAAUAGAAUAUAAAAACGAAAACAAUUUAUCUCAAUAUGUGACUUCCCUUGAUAUAAUAUCGAGUAUAAAAAGAGAAGGAAUCAAAUAUAAAUUUCUUGAAGGUUUGUAAAAAAAAAAAAAAAAAUCACUACAUUAACUAAAAUUUUUUAAAACUCUAUAAAAUCGACUUAAUUUUCAUAAUUCAAAAAAA
rnacentral:lncRNA from 1 species